ACAGAAGACGUUCUCACCGGAUUCAAGAUGCAUGCUCGAGGCUGGCGAUCAAUCUACUGCAUGCCUAAGCGACCAGCUUUCAAGGGAUCUGCUCCUAUCAACCUUUCGGAUCGUUUGAAUCAAGUGCUUCGGUGGGCUCUUGGUUCCAUUGAAAUUCUUUUCAGCAGGCAUUGUCCCAUAUGGUAUGGCUAUGGAGGCCGGCUUAAAUUCCUGGAGAGAUUUGCUUAUAUCAACACAACAAUUUAUCCACUCACAUCAAUCCCGCUCCUCCUGUACUGCAUAUUGCCAGCAGUUUGUCUUCUCACUGGGAAUUUCAUCAUCCCAAAGAUUAGUAACCUAGAGAGUGUUUGGUUUAUAUCGCUCUUUAUCUCAAUCUUUGCCACUGGUAUCCUUGAGAUGAGGUGGAGUGGUGUUGGCAUUGAUGAAUGGUGGAGGAACGAGCAGUUCUGGGUCAUUGGUGGUAUUUUCUGCACAUUUAUUUGCCACUGAUGAAGAAGGUGAUUUUGCCGAGCUCUACAUGUUCAAGUGGACAACGCUUCUGAUCCCACCAACCACUAUUUUGAUCAUCAACCUGGUCGGCGUGGUCGCUGGCAUUUCCUACGCAAUCAAUAGCGGUUACCAGUCAUGGGGACCUCUUUUCGGGAAGCUCUUCUUUGCGUUCUAGGUGAUUGUCC